AAAUGUUAAAGUUCUUAUUUCAUGGUAUAACUUUGGUAUGCUUGGACCUAGAGUCUUCAAACUUGACACGAAGGUUGGCCAGGAUUAACAGAUGACCACUGGUCAUUUCAAGGUCAUUCAUUUGAAGGUCAAGGUCACUGUGACCUUCAAUAUAAAAAAUGUUAAAGUUGUUAUAACUUUGGUAUGCUUGGACCUAGAGUCUUGAAACUUGACAUGAAGGUUGGCCAUAACUAGUUAGUAACCACUGGUCAUUUCAAGGUCAUUCAUUUGAAGGUCAAGGUCACUGUGACCUUGAAUGUAAAAAUGUUAAAGUUCUUAUUUCAUGGUAUAACUUUGGUAUGCUUGGACCUAGAGUCUUCAAACUUGACAUGAAGGUUGGCCAGGAUUAACAGAUGACCACUGGUCAUUUCAAGGUCAUUCAUUUGAAGGUGAAGGUCACUGUGACCUUCAAUAUAAAAAUGUUAAAGUUGUUAUAACUUUGGUAUGCUUGGACCUAGAGUCUUGAAACUUGACAUGAAGGUUGGCCAGAACUAGUAAGUAACCACUGGACAUUUCAAGGUCAUUCAUUUGAAGGUCAAGGUCACUGUGACCUUGAAUGUAAAAAUGUUAAAGUUGUUAUAACUUUGGUAUGCUUGGACCUAGAGUCUUGAAACUUGACAUGAAGGUUGGCCAGAACUAGUAAGUAACCACUGGACAUUUCAAGGUCAUUCAUUUGAAGGUCAAGGUCACUGUGACCUUGAAUGUAAAAAUGUUAAAGUUCUUAUUUCAUGUUAUAACUUUGGUAUGCUUGUACCUAGAGUCUUCAAACUUGAAAUAAAGAUUGGCCAGUACUAGAAGAUGACCACUGGUCAUUUCAAUGUCAUUCAUUUGAAGGUCAAGGUCACUGUGACCUUAAAUGUUAAAAUGUUAAAAUUGUUAUAACUUUGGUAUGCUUGGACAUAGAGUCUUCAAACUUGACAUGAAGGUUUGCAAGCACACUUAGAUGACCACUGGUCAUUUCAAGGUCAUUCAUUCUAAGGUCAAGGUCACUGUGACCUUGAAUGUAAAAAUGUUAAAGUUCUUAUAACUUUGGUAGGUAAAAAUGUUAAAGUUCUUAUUCCAUGUUAUAACUUUGGUAUGCUUGUACCUAGAGUCUUCAAACUUGACAUAAAGGUUGGCCAGUACUAGAAGAUCACCACUGCUCAUUUCAAUGUCAUUCAUUUGAAGGUCAAGGUCACUGUGACCUUCAAUGUUAAAAUGUUAAAAUUGUUAUAACUUUGGUAUGCUUGGACCUAGAAUCUCAAACUUGACGUAAAGGUUUGCAAGCACACUUAGAUGACCACUGGUCAUUUCAAGGUAAUUCAUUUGAAGGUGAAGGUCACUGUGACCUUCAAUAUAAAAAUGUUAAAGUUGUUAUAACUUUGGUAUGCUUGGACCUAGAGUCUUGAAACUUGACAUGAAGGUUGGCCAGAACUAGUAAGUAACCACUGGACAUUUCAAGGUCAUUCAUUUGAAGGUCAAGGUCACUGUGACCUUGAAUGUAAAAAUGUUAAAGUUGUUAUAACUUUGGUAUGCUUGGACCUAGAGUCUUGAAACUUGACAUGAAGGUUGGCCAGAACUAGUAAGUAACCACUGGACAUUUCAAGGUCAUUCAUUUGAAGGUCAAGGUCACUGUGACCUUGAAUGUAAAAAUGUUAAAGUUCUUAUUUCAUGUUAUAACUUUGGUAUGCUUGUACCUAGAGUCUUCAAACUUGAAAUAAAGAUUGGCCAGUACUAGAAGAUGACCACUGGUCAUUUCAAUGUCAUUCAUUUGAAGGUCAAGGUCACUGUGACCUUAAAUGUUAAAAUGUUAAAAUUGUUAUAACUUUGGUAUGCUUGGACAUAGAGUCUUCAAACUUGACAUGAAGGUUUGCAAGCACACUUAGAUGACCACUGGUCAUUUCAAGGUCAUUCAUUCUAAGGUCAAGGUCACUGUGACCUUGAAUGUAAAAAUGUCUGGAUUUCUGUGUAGGUAUGUGAAAGCAAAACAAUAAAUAGUAUUAUUUCA